GGCCCAGGGCACUUACCUUCAUAAUGACCCUUUAUGUGAGCCUUUUACAUAAUGUAAUUAACAUUAUGUCAUAUGGAACAUACUUUCAUUAAUCAUUUAUUCAUAAAUUUGGUUUUUAGUGUUGUUUCAGAGUAAGAGACAGCAAACUUUUUCUGUGAAGGGCCAGAUAUUUUAGACUUUACAGGUUAUGUGGUCUUUGUCAUAGCUCUUCAUCCACCUGUUUUAUAAUGCAAAAGCAGCCAUAGACAGUGUGUAAAUGGAUGGAGUUUGACUGUGUUCCAGUUAAACUUUAUAAAGGCAGUGUGUUGUAGUUUGCUGACUUCUGAUUUUAGAGUAUCACAGUUUGAUCUAAUACCUUCAGGUGAUAAAUGGAAAAAAUUUAUGUGUAAGUUUACUCCCCAAUAGAAUGAAGAAAAAAAUUUUAAAGAAAACAUCUAUAACUUGGUUUUUAAAAAUAAAGGUAGCUGUAUUUAGGAACCUUUUCAACCAUCUUUUCUAUUUAUUAGUCCAAGACAUCCCUGACGUCAUCAAUGGGAAGACCAAUGACAGGGGCUAUUCAGGAUGGAGUUACUAGACCCAUGACAGCAGUGAGAGCAGCAGGUUUUACCAAAGCAUCUUUGAAAGGCUCUGCAUUCGACCCACUUGGCCAAUCAAGGGGCCCUGCUCCUCCUUUGGAAACCAAAAACGAAGAUAGUCCAGAAGAGAAGAUUAGACAAUUAAAGAAGAAAGUAAAUGAGUUGGUAGAAGAAAACUGUAUUGCUAACAGUUGUGGAGACUUAAAAUUGGCCUUAGAAAAGGCAAAAGAUGCAGGAAGAAAAGAGAGAGUCCUGGUGAGACAACGGGAAUAAGUUACAACUCCAGAAAAUAGCAAUUUGGAUUUAACUUACUCAGUUCUUUUCAACGUGGCCUGUCAAUAUUCAGCUAAUGAAAUGUAUGCUGAGGCACUAAACACAUAUCAAGUUAUACUGAAAAACAAGAUGUUUAGCAAUGUGGGGAGACUGAAAGUGAAUAUGGGAAAUAUUUACUUAAAGCAAAGAAAUUAUUCCAAAGCCAUUAAAUUCUACCGAAUGGCCUUAGAUCAAAUCCCAAGUGUCCAUAAAGAAAUGAGGUUAAAAUAAUGCAGAACAUUGGAGUUACAUUUAUUAAAACUGGUCAAUAUUCAGAUGCCAUUAAUUCAUUUGAGCAUAUAAUGAGCAUGGCACCAAAUCUGAAAGCAGGCUUCAACCCGAUUCUUAGUUAUUUUGCUAUUGGAGAUCGAGAAAAAAUGAAGAAGGCAUUCCAGAAAUUGAUUGCUGUUCCAUUAGAAAUUGAUGAAGAUGAUAAAUAUAUUUCACCAAGUGAUGAUCCCCAUACUAACCUAGUGAUUGAAGCUAUAAAAAAUGAUCCACUCAGGCAAAUGGAAUGUGAAAGGUACCAAGACUGAGAGGAAAACGUCUAUAAUUGCUUCAUUCUUUCCUUCUUCUAAUAUGGUACUACAAUCUCCUUGUACUUUAUUCACCAAAUAUAUGGGGUUUUCCCACAAUGAGAACAAAUGAUCUGACUUGCUGGACACCAACUGAGUGUCCAGCAAUUCAGUUCUGACACUAACUACCCAGAGUUUAUGCAAGCCCCACAGUGCCACAAGAUUGCCUUUGUACCCCUGACUACAGAUACCAGUUGCAAGCUCAGGGCUUCCUGUACUUCUGAUCAACUGGAUAUAAAUUAGGGGCUCCCUCCACUCCUCCUUGAGUUCAGUAAUUUACUGCAAGAGCUUAUAGAACUCAGGAAAACACUUUGCUUUUAUUUGCCAGUUUAUUAUAAAGAAAGCAACUCAGAAACAACCAAAUGGAAGAGAUGAAUAGGGCAAGGUAUGAGAGCUUUCAUGUCCUAUCCAGAUGUGCCAUCCUCCUAGUACCUCCAUGUGUUCCCCAACUUGGAGGUCUUCUACACUGAGGUUCAGCUAUGUAGGCAACACUGAUUAUAUCAUUAGCCUUUGGUGAUGAAACUCAAUUUCUAGCCCUUCUUCCCUCUUGGAGGUUGAGGGGCGGGACUGAAAGUUCCAAUUCUUCAAUCAUAUGGUUCAUUUCACUGGCAACCAGGCCCCAUUUUGAAACUUUCUGUAAGCUAAUAGGAAGUCACCUCAUUAACAUAAAGUCAAGCAUUGUCAAAGGGGGUUCAUUAUGAUUAACAAAAGACACUUCUGUCAUUCAGAAAAUUCCAAGAGCUUUUUGCCAGGCAUCAAGAUAAAGACCAAAUAUAUUUCUAUCACAAUAUCACAUGUACUUGGUCGCUACCAAGUAUAAUUUUAUCAUUGGAGGAAGUCCAAGGAGUUUCCAGAGAGGAGGACCUCAACUCAAGAUUGAGUGGGGUUCUUGACAAACAUAAUUUAAGGAAGCAUCUGUUAGAGGCACAAAGAUUUAGGAAAACAGAGAUGCAUUCGAAGAAGAAUGUAGGCUCUAUUGAGAGUGAGACCCUUUUGUGGUAAAGUGGGGAAUAUACAUUCAAGAGAGAAUGUGAACCAUCUUUUGAGAAUGAGAAGCAGCAACCCCUUGGUCUUGGUUAUUAAUUUUUAUAGAGGGACCUUAACUAAAAGCUAGACUAAAGAUGAAGUCAGGAUGGAGUUAUGUAGUUUUGUGCCAAUACUUCUAGUACUUGGGCAUUGCCCUCAUAUCAUAAAACUAUUUGCAGGCAAGGGUUCAUGCUCCAUUGUUGGGGGCUGCAGACCCCAUCCUAGCCUGGCACUGAGCCGGGGCUCCUGGUUUGCAACAUCAAGAAUUUCCACACUGGCACUGAGCCGGGGCAACCUGGUUUGCAACAAAUAGCUGAC